rnacentral:miRNA from 1 species
AAAAGUGACAUUACAAGGUAAU